rnacentral:rRNA from 1 species
UACGUAGGGUGCAAGCGUUGUCCGGAAUUAUUGGGCGUAAAGAGCUCGUAGGCGGCCUGUUACGUCUGCUGUGAAAUCCCGAGGCUCAACCUCGGGCCUGCAGUGGGUACGGGCAGACUAGAGUGCGGUAGGGGAGAUUGGAAUUCCUGGUGUAGGCGGUGGAAUGCGCAGAUAUCAGGAGGAACACCAAUGGCGAAGGCAGAUCUCUGGGCCGUAACUGACGCUGAGGAGCGAAAGCAUGGGGAGCGAACAGG